AUGCAAGUCUAAGUUCAGGCUUGUUCCUUUCGGGGAGCGAGCCGAAACUGCGAACGGCUCAUUAGUCAGAUAAGGUUCCUUGGCGAAAAGCGGGUCGGUUUAAUGGAUAACUGUGGUAAUUCUAGAGCUAAUACAUGCAACGCACCGUGGUCCCCCCCUUUCACCAAAACCUCUUUUGGCUCUGCGGGGCGGGGGAAACGGCAUUUAUUCUCUGGACCAGAUCGCCCUAGCCCGCGAAGCUACCGUCAAAAGUAGCGACGGGGCGAAGCGACAAGUGUUGAAAUCCGAAUAACUGUGCCGAUCGCGGGGUCUUCCCGGGCCCCCGACGACUUUGCCAUGAAGUGUCUGUCCCAUCAAUUUGCGAUGGUCGGCGACCUGCCUACCACGGUGUUGACGGGUAACGGGGAAUCAGGGUUCGAUUCCGGAGAGGGAGCCUGCGAAACGGCUACCACC
rnacentral:rRNA from 1 species